CAUAAAAUUAAUUAAACUAUAAAAAUCAUCCAAACAUCAAAUAUUUAUAAACCUCAGGUUGGAUUGCUAAUUAGAAACCUGCUAGAUUUCAGUAGAUCAUGUGAUCAUGCACUUCAAAUCUGUCAUACCAUGUGUGACAGUGACUGGUUAUGGUUUUUCAAUACCCUAGAUUAUAUUUAAGCUGGACAUUUGGUCAAAUGCAAUAACAUUUUAAAGAUGUGACCUUAAAAAAACUAAUGUACUUCUUUGGUGGCAAAAGGGUUCAAGGAAUACAUUUAAUAUUGAUUAAUUACAUCACUUCACUAGUCACACAUUAUUUACAGUAUCUUUGGCAAAUGAAAAACAUCUAACAGUAACAUAUAACUUUACAAUAUUUUCUAAACACAGGGAUUGACAUUCUUUAGAGAUUUCCAUAUCAUAAUUUGCAAUAAUAUUGCACCACAAGCUUUUCACAAGGGAAGAAACCAAAACUUCAUUCACUAUUUUGUCUACUGGGAGACAAGUGAACUUGUCUUUUACUAAAAACUAACUCACUAACUUCCAUUACACUUACAAGCCAUAAAUGAGGUGACCAAAGGCCACCACAACGAUUAAAUGUACUCAUUGUCCUUUGUUGCAGUUCGCAUUGAAUACAUCAAGGCUUGAAUUUCUUUGUUUCUCUGGGAGUGCCACCUGGAACAAUUCUUGCUUUUUCGAUACAAAGAUCUUAUCAUGAGUUCAUAACCAGCCAAAUAGGUCAAUGGCCAAGCUCUUGUGAUGAUACAGAAA